rnacentral:rRNA from 1 species
GGUUGCGAUCAUACCAGCACUAUGCACCGGAUCCCAUCAGAACUCCGCAGUUAAGCGUGCUUGGGCGAGAGUAGUACUAGGAUCCUCGUGUUGCAACCC